GAACUUUAGCAUGCAUUUAUUUAAAAUAAACGUCCACUCACAAAUUAGGCCUAAGCCUGAUGUCGAUCUGGGGUCUCGUCUGCUCGAGCCUCCUCACGUCCUGUUCCAAAUAAAAUAUUAAUUUCCCAACCAAUAAUCCAAUAUUUAAUCAAAAUAGGCAAAAUUACCCGAGAGCCAUAAUUACGCUCAUUAUUGCCUAACUUCGAUAUUCUUACAUCGGAACGAUCCGAACUUAAAUAUCAUACUCCACAGUCGCAAAUAUAACCUCCCCAAAAUACGACUUAAAUCCUACGGCCGGAUUCUACAUUAAUUAACCGCCAAAAAUACCAAACUUCGGAAAUUCACAAACCUAUCCAAAACUCAUCCAAAAAUUCCAUAAAUCACACCAAUAUACUCCUCUUAAUAUUCCACAUUUAAAACCCUAAAAAUCUCCUAACCGGCGGCGGCGCCGCCGGCGGCUCCGCCGGCAGCGGCGGCCGGCAGCCGUUUUCCGGCGACCUGCAAAUUCUACCAAAUUUUAACAGAAUCUUCCUCUCAAUCUCCUCUACAACUUUCAUGACUAACACAUCACCCAAUUCCAAGCCUAACUAGGCUAAUCGAACGAAAAUAACUUAAAAGCCUAGAAAUUUCAACUCCACAUUUCUCCUUACCUAGCUCAAGAGGGAGGGAGCUGUUUGGAGGGGUUGUUGCACGGGAGGAGGGCUACAAAACCGUACCAAGCUUGCCCAGAUUGGUGGCCGGAGGAGGAAGUUCCGGCGAGAAAACCGAUUCGGCAGUCGGAGCUUUCGGGUGGCACCGCUCCUUCACGGCGGCGCUAGGGCUCCACUCACCGGUCUAGAAAUGUUGCUGGGAGGGAGACCGACCGAACGGGACCGGUCCGGCGGCGAACGGAGGUCGGACGGCGGCGGGAGGGCGGCCGGAACUCUUCUGGGUGUAGAGAGGAGAAAACCGGGUGGGAGGAAAGAAAAUCGGGAGAGAGGGAGAAGAGAAAAGAAGAAGAAAUGGGUUGGGCUCGGCCCAGCCGACCCAACAAUCCUUUUAACCCAAAAUUCCAAAAUUCAACACCCCGAAAAAUAAUACCCGAAUAAAAAUUACCUUUUAC
rnacentral:lncRNA from 1 species